rnacentral:rRNA from 1 species
AACCACCUGAUCCCUUCCCGAACUCAGAAGUGAAACCUCUUCGCGCUGAUGGUAGUGUGGGGUUACCCAUGUGAGAGUAAGUCAUCGCCAGCU